rnacentral:misc_RNA from 1 species
AUGUGGGGUUGAGUUUUCUUGAAAUUUUAGGGCUUUUUUCCUUGGUGGGUAUGUGCCAAGUGAACCAGAGAUGAAAAGGUCUGUUGAGGGUUUCAAUGGAAUUAGUUUUGUUGAUGAAGAAGAAUCCAAGGUGAAAAAGCUGUUAAAUGAGUUAUUAGAACUGCAAAAGGAUUUCGUCUCCAAGAAGAGGAAGUUGCAGGCUGCAAAGCUGAAGAAAGAAAGCAUUUUGGCUGAAAUCCUG